UAGGGAAUCUUCCGCAAUGGACGAAAGUCUGACGGAGCAACGCCGCGUGAGUGAAGAAGGAUUUCGGUUCGUAAAACUCUGUUGUUAGGGAAGAAAAAAUGUAUAGUAACUAUAUACAAAAGAGACGGUACCUAACCAGAAAGCCACGGCUAACUACGUGCCAGCAGCCGCGGUAAUAAGUAGGUGGCAAGCGUUGUCCGGAAUUAUUGGGCGUAAAGCGCGCGCAGGUGGUUUAGAAAGUCUGAUGUGAAAGCCCACGGCUCAACCGUGGAGGGUCAUUGGAAACUAAUAAACUUGAGUGCAGGAGAGAAAAGUGGAAUUCCUAGUGUAGCGGUGAAAUGCGUAGAGAUUAGGAGGAACACCGGUGGCGAAAGCGGCUUUUUGGCCUGCAACUGACACUGAGGCGCGAAAGCGUGGGGAGCAAACAGG
rnacentral:rRNA from 1 species